UACAGAGGUCUCAAGCGCUGUUCGGAUUCAUUGGGCGUAAAGGGUGCGUAGGUGGCGCCGUAAGUCGGGUGUGAAAUUUCGGAGCUUAACUCCGAAACUGCAUUCGAUACUGCGGUGCUUGAGGACUGGAGAGGAGACUGGAAUUCAUGGUGUAGCAGUGAAAUGCGUAGAGAUCAUGAGGAAGACCAGUGGCGAAGGCGGGUCUCUGGACAGUUCCUGACACUGAGGCACGAAGGCCAGGGGAGCAAACAGG
rnacentral:rRNA from 1 species